UUUGUAGGGACUUGUGGAAAGCGACAAGACGAGCUUGUGUUGCUGCUUGUGCACGGAUGCCGACGAAAGUUUGUGCUGGUUGUGAAGAGGUCGAUGGACACUGGAUACCGAAAGGACUAGUUUGUGCUA